UUUCCGUAGGUGAACCUGCGGAAGGAUCAUUAUUAUAUAACCGAGGAACGAGGGCGGUCGAUGACCCUAUAGGUCGUGUACUCCCGAGUGUCCUCACACACAUCUAGCUUACCCCUAUGUGCACCACCGCGUGGGUACCCCUUGGGCUUGCGCGGCGUGGGUCUUACGUUUACACAGAAAUUUUGUAGACAGUGUAGAUUGUAUUUUUUGUUUAUGCGAUCUCGCAAACAUUACAACUUUCCACAAAGGAAAUCCUGGCUCUCGCAUCGAUGAAGAACC
rnacentral:misc_RNA from 1 species